GACGAACGCUGGCGGCGUGCUUAACACAUGCAAGUCGAACGGAAAGGCCCUGCUUUUGUUGGGUGCUCGAGUGGCGAACGGGUGAGUAACACGUGAGUAACCUGCCCUUGACUUUGUGAUAACUUCAGGAAACUGGGGCUAAUACCGGAUAGGAGCUCCUGCUGCAUGGUGUUGGUUGGAAAGUUUCGGCGGUUGGGGAUGGACUCGCGGCUUAUCAGCUUGUUUGUGGGGUAGUGGCUUACCAAGGCUUUGACGGGUAGCCGGCCUGAGAGGGUGACCGGCCACAUUGGGACUGAGAUACGGCACAGGCUCCUACGGGAGGGAGCAGUGGGGAAUACUGCACGAUGGGCGGAAGCCUGAUGCAGCAACGCCGCGUGCGGGAUGACGGCCUUCGGGUUGUAAAACGCUUUCGCCUGUGACGAAGCGUGAGUGAAGGUAAUGGGUACAGAAGCACCGGCUAACUACGUG
rnacentral:rRNA from 1 species